UACGGGGGGGGCAAGCGUUGUUCGGAAUUACUGGGCGUAAAGGGCUCGUAGGUGGCCAACUAAGUCAGACGUGAAAUCCCUCGGCUUAACCGGGGAACUGCGUCUGAUACUGGAUGGCUUGAGUUUGGGAGAGGGAUGCGGAAUUCCAGGUGUAGCGGUGAAAUGCGUAGAUAUCAAGAGGAACACCUGAGGUGAAGACGGGUUGCUGGGCUGACACUGACGCUGAUAGCGCGAAAGCCAGGGGAGCAAACGGG
rnacentral:rRNA from 1 species